UGCCCUUGUACACAAGGCGAGGCCAGCACUGCCACGCUCCGGUUUAGCCCCUCCUGUGUCUCCGUUCCAGUUAGGCUGAAAGGCGCUGGCUGGCCACAGCAGCUUCACCCUGCCCUGCCAGGCCCUGCUGUCCCAGGAGAGUCAGAAACCAAGUGUGAGACAUGGGUCUGCAUGCAAAAGUGCAGGACACCUCCAGAGAGCUCUCGUUUUCAGGUUAAGCGAAGCCACAAAGAGCCGCAAGGCAGAGGACAGACCCCACCUGAAGCGGGUUCAUGAAACCAAGAUGCUCAAGGAUGAACUUUCUAUCCAGGAGUCUAUCCAAGCCUAUAAUUGCUUUUCGCAUCUACAGCUGCCCACACCUGCCCCCAGCCGAAGGACGCAGUGCUUUGCAUGAAAAGGCCCUCAGCAGAACACACACAAGAAUUCAGGGCAAUUGAGGACAGACACCAUGGCCCCCAAGUCCAUCAACUCAGGGACCCUUAAUACAGGAGCACUGGUUUUGAAAGAAGCUCAGGACGGUCUGGUGGCUUCGCUCUAUUGACCUCCACAGCUUGCUUGGGCACCAUCCCUGCCUCCCUGAGGCUCUGACACGCAGAAUGACACCCUGUUCUCUGCAGGUGCCUGCAGAGCACCUGUUGCCCAACUCCAGAGGGAGCCACCCACGUACCCCAGGAGGUUCAUUUCCAUAUGUGACCCCAGCAUGCUGUGAUCACUUCGGGUAGGAGUCUGUAGGGGUGGGAG
rnacentral:lncRNA from 1 species